AGUUCUGAACACAGGAAGCACGCAGGAUGCAGAGUGGGUGUUUUUUUUUGUUGUUUGCUUUAAAUGUCAGCAUGUAAGACUUUCACCAGAGCAUCCUCUGCUGGGACCACAGACUGACCCACUUAUAUUAGGCAUUUGGACCACUGAUCAGAGGAAUCUUGAGCCCCAGACUGGGCAGGUGCAGGCUUCACACCUCUGAGAAGAGCCAGCAUGCACGCCCGCCUCGCUACACUGUUCAUCGCCAUCACUCUGACAGGUCAGAAACUGUCCGCAGAAACGGAGACGCGGUCCGCCAGCGCGGGCGAAACCGUCUCGCUGCGCUGCGAUGUCGCCCACGAGAAGCAGACGCUGUGGUUCGGACAGCGCUGCGGCGAAGCCCCGUUCCUCGGCGUCUCCGCCAGCUCCAAGGGCUACGACGCGCGCGCGCUUUUCGCGCAGUUCGUCCGGGGCGCCGACCCGCGCCUGGCGGUGGAAUUCGACGCGGCCGCCGAGUCCGUCCUCCUGAGGAUCGAGAACGUGACGGAGGGCGACGCGGCGUUGUACUUCUGCGCCUCCAUGCGGAGGGGAAGUCUGUACUUCGGGAACGGCACCAAAAUCGUGAUAUCUGGUAGUGAGCAUGAUCCCCCCCCCCUCUCUGCUGCCCCCCGACUGUGUUCUCUGCUGUGUGCAUCUGACCUUCGUCUCUGUGGUCUGUGUUGUGGUCUGCACCCUGGGUCUCUGCUACUGCAUCCGGCAGGCAAGGGCCAUGAAAUGUAA